UCCCUGGUGGCUCAGUGGUAAAGAAUCUGUCUGCAAUGCAGGAGACCCAGGUUCGAUCCCUGGGUUGGGAA
rnacentral:tRNA from 1 species